rnacentral:lncRNA from 7 species
ACUCAAGCGGUGCAAGGCAGGAACUCAGCCUGGCUGCUACAUGUAGGCUGCAGGUGUCUGCCCUCUAUGAAGUGGAUGGAAAGCAGGGGACUCAGGCUGGGGUCUGGAUGGUGAUGUGCUGCUGCUGCAGGGCAAUAUGGAUGUGCUGCCUGUGGGCAUAUUUAUGUUCCAGCCUCCCUGGCUUAUCUCCACAAAGAGUGCACACAGUUGGUGUGAGAGGGACAGGGAAUGAUGGUGGUAUAAAUCUCAUCUGGCACAGAACUCUCGGGUAUCAUUUAAAAGGGGAAGGCUGAUAAAAAGUAAUUCAAAGGUGCCCAGUGAGUGCAGAGCUACAAUAAGCUGACGCUGUCUGUAAGCAGUGAUGAGACGACCUCGGCGGUCCUGCAGUAUGAUCAUACUCAUCCAAAUACAUAGAUGAGACAAUCUUGUUAAAUAAUUGAAGUGGUAUUAAGUUCAGGCCUCUCACAUUUAGUACUUUUCAACUCUCCUGCCACUUAUUUCAUUGCUCUUUGCAGAGAAAUUACACUUUUCUAGUUUUAGAAUUUGUUCUGCUCUGUGCCACUGGCUCCCAGCAGCUCUUGCAGACCUCCCGACCUCCCUCUUUCAGCCUCUAAUAUCAUGACUUGUUUCCAUGGAGACCAGAGUAAAGCGAUAAAUAAAUGUGGCUGGGAAUAGCAAGCUUCCACCUUCUGCAACUGGGAUAAAGCCCGGGGAAUCAUUGCUCGGCUGUGUGUUACACAGUGCACAGAGGAGCCCCUGAUACUCUCCUCUUGGUGGCUUGCAAGUAGGGCUGACAUAGUAUGGCUCAGCACCCCAUAUAUUCAGGGUACGCUGAUUUUCAUGGCUGAGCAGUGUUUACUGAGCAACGUUAUCUUCAGGUUGUGUGAGUGAAAACAGCGCUGGUGCUUCUCUUGGAUCUGGCUGAUGGAGAUGUAGCCUGGGAGCCAAAAAACACUGGGUUUGGACCCCAGUUGUGCUGGAAGAACAUUUCUUAUUCCUUCCCUGUGCUUUAUUCAUGAGGCUAUAACACUUUUGGAGCAGGAAUCGUAGGAGCAGGAAUCGUAGAAUCAUUAAGGUUGGGAAGACCACUAAGAUCAUCUAGUCCAACCAUCAGCCCAUCACCACCAUGCCCAUUAACCAUAUCCCUCAGUGCCACAUCGACCCUUUUCAGGGCUGGUGACUCCCUGGGCAGCCUGUUCCUAUACCUCACCACUCUUCUGAAAAGAAAUUCUUCCUGAUAUCCAACCUGGGGAGGAAAUUCCUUUCUGGGGAUGGUUUAUGUGCUGUCUGUCUCACGGAUGACUUUGUCAUGGUUGAAGUUUUUAUGUAACAUAAAAAUUGAAAAUU